AAUGAACGCUGGCGGCGCGCCUAAUACAUGCAAGUCGAGCGAGAAGACGUAGCAAUACGUUUGUAAAGCGGCGAACGGGUGAGGAAUACAUGGGUAACCUACCCUCGAGUGGGGAAUAACUAGCCGAAAGGUUAGCUAAUACCGCGUACGCUCCUUGGACUUCGGUUCAGGGAGGAAAGCGAUACCGUGGGUAUCGCGCUCUUGGAUGGGCUCAUGUCCUAUCAGCUUGUUGGUGAGGUAACGGCUCACCAAGGCUUCGACGGGUAGCUGGUCUGGGAGGACGAUCAGCCACACUGGCACUGCGACACGGGCCAGACUCCUACGGGAGGCAGCAGUAAGGAAUAUUGCGCAAUGGGCGAAAGCCUGACGCAGCGACGCCGCGUGGGGGAUGAAGGUCUUCGGAUUGUAAACCCC
rnacentral:rRNA from 1 species